rnacentral:lncRNA from 1 species
CAACUUGUACAAUAUGAGUAUAGCCGAGCGUCUCGCCUCCCACGCGUCUCGCUCCCGCGACUCAACCCGCACGCCUCUAGCGUCGAGGUCCGGGCUUCGCGACAUCGCAUGCCACGAAGGGCACUCAUAACCAUAAGUUCCACCAUCGUGUCUCCCGCGCCUGACAACACCCAUGGCCAUACCGCCUACGCGGCCUGCUCGCUCGGUCCAACGGCUUACCUCCGAAAAGCCACCCAAGUGUGCGCCACAAGCUUGCUUGCCCCAACAUCAGCACCUCAGCGUGACACCACGCACGUCCGUGCUUCGCACCUCCGUGCUUCGCAUUCGACCCGUGCGGCCCUCGUGUCCCAUCGCUCCUGAAUAGGGAACCAACAAGUCCACACCGUGCUUCUCGACCGUCUCAUCGACCCUCGCUUUGCCACGGCGCUCCGCGCCCUUGACUCCCAUAGGUUCGCCUCAUAAGGCCCCAUACAAACGAACCGGCCUCGCUCCGCAUCGCUAGCCACUGGCCCCUCCUUGGCUCGACCACGCCUGGCCGCUUACCCCAUUGGUCCAGUCUCUCAAGGUUCACUAUACGGAUACCGAUACCGCUUGCCUCCUUGGGUUCCGCCCCUCGAGUCUCGUAGGCCACCCGCCUUACGAAUUCUCCCUCGGCAUGCCUCCCUUUAGCGUCCCUAUCGAGUCUCGCCUCCUUGGCCUUCGUGGGCGCCGCGCCCCACGAAUCCCCGCUCGGCACCCUUGCCUUCGCGAGCCUUGUCCUUUACGGAGGACCAUCCGUCGCUAGACUAUCCCUCAUCCGCUCGUACGCUCCACUACAGAGAUCCAAGCCGGCAUAAGGUAGCGCAAGCGAUCCUAGGGAGGAAGCCUCCCGGUAUUCCCCGCUUCCGUAAUGUCGUCGACCUCUCGCGUCUCCGACAUUACCCUAGGCCCGUGUCCCUUCAACCGUCCAUUAACCGGCUACACGGAACGCUAGGCUUGGCUACUCCGCUAGCCAAGGGACGACCCAUAUCCUAUGGGUCGACGGGGGAGUCGGGGCCACUUACGAAGUGUCCACCCCUCCUCUAAUACCCUUACGAGGCAUCCACUCCUUUGGCACCCCGGGGGUACAAAGGUGCUCACCGAGGGGUACGUUUUCAAGCCCCGCAUGCGGCACCUAUUUCCAAGUCAUGGCAUGGGCCAUUGCUAGGGAAUUGCCUCCGUUGACUUGACAGCGACUCCUACCUGACGGAACGCCUCAACUCCGCAACUCCAUAACUUCGUCAACCCAAAUGCCUACCAAGUAUGGCCCACAAAGGUGUCACGGUCGAGACCCAACGAUCGACCCGUGACAGUACGGCACGAGCGGCAUUUUGAACCUUGAUAAUAAUAUUAUAAUACUAAUCCAAGUGUCGAAACGCAAAAAAUCGCGCCUGCGGUGUUUCGAUCGGCUCGUCAAAUGGCACCAAAUCCCUUUCCUCUUCUUCUUCUUCUCUUUUUCCCCUUUCUCUUCUUUCCUUUUCUCUCUAUACGUACAGGUUGAAGGUGGAGGGAAGCUUCAAGAGGCUUCCCUGGCAACUUAGUGGAAUUCCACUACGGUAACAAUAUGCCAAUAAGUCCAUAAGCCAUCAAUAUUCUCAAUUUGCUCUAAUUUCAAUUUGAUACUUUUAAUUGCAGCCCUUCUGAAUGUCCGUUUGCGGUACAACUCUUGUGGGUACUCAUGCCAUACUCGUGCCCUCUCCGCAAACAACUUUUGUCACCCCAAUGCCUCCACAAUCGCACAACGUCGAGCUCUCCCCAUGGUCUCCCCAAGCUUUCAAGCCUUUCGUCGGGACUAGCCGGCCUCGACUACUUCCUGCUCUACUGACUUCCCCACGGACUCUUGUCAUGCCUCCUGACUGCUUUGCAUUUCGACUACUUGUUGAUGCACGGCACCUUUAGCCUUUAUCCCACAAGCCUGCUCAAGCCCUACUUCGUUAGGCUCUCGCAGAACUCCACUUCGAUUCGCAAUCAAAGUGUUCGGCCAAGUUCGAGCCAAUCGGACACCUUGUCUCUUUUCGCUCGCAACUUGCCAUAUCCCAACUCUAGGGACACCACCCUCAUGAUUGAACGCUGAACGGAACUCAGUUCACUCUCUGCUUAGUCUGAACCGCAAGUCUGGUUGCCACGGCAAUGCCGCUACCCUGCGCGCACCGCCCUUACAGAACUUCGAUACCUCGACCCUUCCCGCAGCUGCGAACUGUCCAAACUCCAGCCAGCACCAUGAUCCUGGGUGAAUCCACACACCACUCAACCCGACUAAGGAUGUCUCAUCCGUCCAACUCGUGGGCACAUUGUAAAGAGCAACCGAUCUCCACACCGGCCUUCUCGCACCAAGAGAAGUACUAAGCUCUCUCGCAAUCCUAGGUCCCCUUCACAACCUAGUCCAACGCCUAGCUGUUACUACCAUGGAUUCGUCGGCCUAGACUUCCAACUUGAGCUCCACGAAGCAAACUCUUUUACCACAUGUGUUGUAUCCCACUUCCUGUCAUAGACGAGCUCCUUCACCGAGUCUUUGCGCAUGGGAGCACUUAAUGAACAAACGUGCUCCCCCACUCUGAGUCGCUCCACCACCAAGCGCACUCAGAUCUCCCCGGCAUUCUCAAUGCCCCACAUUCCGCUCUGCUAGCUCCGGCUCUGCCACAACCUUCACUAUUCCCUCAAGCGGAACCCAUGUCAUCCAUCCAAUGGAUACAUGUAUGCUACCUCGAGUCACCAACGCUGUCACCGUUCUGCUCGAAGCUAGCCUUACCACCUCACUCCGCGAGUUAAGGUUUCAACCUCAAUCCAUUCUCUCGCACAAGGAUGCCUUCUCAUUCCAUAUCAUGGGCACACUCCAAAGAGUCAUCGAUCUCCCCAUCGAUCUUCCUUUUACCAAGAGAGAAGUACUGGUUCAUCGAGUAGCCCUUUGGUAAUCCCGCAACUUUGGUCGAAGCUGCUCCCAACGAAGACUACUGCCCGUCAGACUUCAAACUCAGCUUUCACGAAGUAAACUCUUUCGCCCAGUGUUUCACCGCCCAAUCCAUAUCCUUUCGAGAAGCACCAUCGUCGAGGAUUCACAUUUGGGAAUACAUCUCCACCUUAUGUACUCCCCCACCCUGAGUCGUAAGCACCUCUGUACAACUCAGUAUCCUUGGGCAUUCGCAAUACCCAACUCCGCGGCAACCCAACCACGGACCGCAAACUGAUUCUUCCUAAUCAUUGCCCCAUCGUCUGCCACACGACUAAGGCCUUAACCAUUUCUCCAUCCUGAGAAUGACUUGGAAAUCCUCACAGGGUACCGACAUGAACUUGGCUUUCGUCCCACCACGAGUCCACACCAACAAGCACCUCCCUCGCAAGACCCGCAAUCGGCUGGGCCUCCGAGCUCCUCGCUGUUAUCUGACUCUCAUCCAUGCGUGGUGCAAGUCCGAACCGCCCGGCUUCACUCACCGCAAAGAAUUCGUGGGUAGUACCAAUAUCCAUCGCAACUUAACUCCGCAUCUCUCACAAGCGAAGUAUUGUCCCAAUGCAUUGUCGGCUCCAAGUCCUUUCGUCAGAGUGACUCUGCUCACUCCAACUUCGCCGCCAAGGUCGCACCUUUCGGCCAAACUUCCAUCCCAAAUGAGCUCAACCUGGCUCUGAUACCACUUGUCACGGGGUUAGCUUUUCCGCCUCAAAAAUCCCCGCGCGGCGCUCAAGUGUCGCACACCCGAGCCAGCCUUCUCGAGUCCCUUACACGGACAAGUCUCCCCGACUUAACAGCGGAAUACCAAUCCAAGCAUUUUGCCAAGCUUGCUCCUCCUCGAGACUUAUAGCCCGACCCUCGCCUGUAAUCGAACCCCUCGUCGGACUCCUCGAGUUCCCAACGAGCAACCCCAAUAUCGAGGUUGGCCACCAAGCUAGGUGCAUCCUGUUUUGUCAACCAAACCCUCCUCGAGAGUGCUCUGUAGCCGAAUGCCUUGUUGCCUUCCUCGCCAGCCCAAGGACAUUACAAGUUCUCCCCCAACUUGUACAAUAUGAGUAUAGCCGAGCGUCUCGCCUCCCACGCGUCUCGCUCCCGCGACUCAACCCGCACGCCUCUAGCGUCGAGGUCCGGGCUUCGCGACAUCGCAUGCCACGAAGGGCACUCAUAACCAUAAGUUCCACCAUCGUGUCUCCCGCGCCUGACAACGCCCAUGGCCAUACCGCCUACGCGGCCUGCUCGCUCGGUCCAACGGCUUACCUCCGAAAAGCCACCCAAGUGUGCGCCACAAGCUUGCUUGCCCCAACAUCAGCACCUCAGCGUGACACCACGCACGUCCGUGCUUCGCACCUCCGUGCUUCGCAUUCGACCCGUGCGGCCCUCGUGUCCCAUCGCUCCUGAAUAGGGAACCAACAAGUCCACACCGUGCUUCUCGACCGUCUCAUCGACCCUCGCUUUGCCACGGCGCUCCGCGCCCUUGACUCCCAUAGGUUCGCCUCAUAAGGCCCCAUACAAACGAACCGGCCUCGCUCCGCAUCGCUAGCCACUGGCCCCUCCUUGGCUCGACCACGCCUGGCCGCUUACCCCAUUGGUCCAGUCUCUCAAGGUUCACUAUACGGAUACCGAUACCGCUUGCCUCCUUGGGUUCCGCCCCUCGAGUCUCGUAGGCCACCCGCCUUACGAAUUCUCCCUCGGCGUGCCUCCCUUUAGCGUCCCUAUCGAGUCUCGCCUCCUUGGCCUUCGUGGGCGCCGCGCCCCACGAAUCCCCGCUCGGCACACUUGCCUUCGCGAGCCUUGUCCUUUACGGAGGACCGUCCGUCGCUAGACUAUCCCUCAUCCGCUCGUACGCUCCACUACAGAGAUCCAAGCCGGCAUAAGGUAGCGCAAGCGAUCCUAGGGAGGAAGCCUCCCGGUAUUCCCCGCUUCCGUAAUGUCGUCGACCUCUCGCGUCUCCGACAUUACCCUAGGCCCGUGUCCCUUCAACCGUCCAUUAACCGGCUACACGGAACGCUAGGCUUGGCUACUCCGCUAGCCAAGGGACGACCCAUAUCCUAUGGGUCGACGGGGGAGUCGGGGCCACUUACGAAGUGUCCACCCCUCCUCUAAUACCCUUACGAGGCAUCCACUCCUUUGGCACCCCGGGGGUACAAAGGUGCUCACCGAGGGGUACGUUUUCAAGCCCCGCAUGCGGCACCUAUUUCCAAGUCAUGGCAUGGGCCAUUGCUAGGGAAUUGCCUCCGUUGACUUGACAGCGACUCCUACCUGACGGAACGCUUCAACUCCGCAACUCCAUAACUUCGUCAACCCAAAUGCCUACCAAGUAUGGCCCACAAAGGUGUCACGGUCGAGACCCAACGAUCGACCCGUGACAGUACGGCACGAGCGGCAUUUUGAACCUUGAUAAUAAUAUUAUAAUACUAAUCCAAGUGUCGAAACGCAAAAAAUCGCGCCUGCGGUGUUUCGAUCGGCUCGUCAAAUGGCACCAAAUCCCUUUCCUCUUCUUCUUCUUCUCUUUUUCCCCUUUCUCUUCUUUCCUUUUCUCUCUAUACGUACAGGUUGAAGGUGGAGGGAAGCUUCAAGAGGCUUCCCUGGCAACUUAGUGGAAUUCCACUACGGUAACAAUAUGCCAAUAAGUCCAUAAGCCAUCAAUAUUCUCAAUUUGCUCUAAUUUCAAUUUGAUACUUUUAAUUGCAGCCCUUCUGAAUGUCCGUUUGUACUCAGAUUUGACAAUCAGGCUCAAUUAAAGUCAAUCAAAAGUACGUUGUCUUAACUUUUUAGUUUUGAAUCAUUUUAGGUCACCGAAAGCUCUACCAACUAAAAUCUUUAAC